UCUCAGUUCGGAUUGGAGUCUGCAACCCGACUCCAUGAAGCUGGAUUCGCUAGUAAUCGCGCAUCAGCCACGGCGCGGUGAAUACGUUCCCGGGCCUUGUACACACCGCCCGUCAAGCCAUGGAAGCCGGGAGUGCCUGAAGUGCGUGACCGCAAGGAGCGUCCUAAGGCAAUACCGGUGACUGGGGCUAAGUCGUAACAAGGUAAC
rnacentral:rRNA from 1 species